rnacentral:rRNA from 1 species
CCUACGGGAGGCAGCAGUAGGGAAUAUUGCUCAAUGGGGGAAACCCUGAAGCAGCAACGCCGCGUGGAGGAUGAAGGUUUUCGGAUUGUAAACUCCUUUUGUUAGAGAAGAUAAUGACGGUAUCUAACGAAUAAGCACCGGCUAACUCCGUGCCAGCAGCCGCGGUAAUACGGAGGGUGCAAGCGUUACUCGGAAUCACUGGGCGUAAAGAGCGCGUAGGCGGGAUAGCAAGGCAGAUGUGAAAUCCUAUGGCUUAACCAUAGAACUGCAUUUGAAACUGUUAUUCUAGAGUAUGGGAGAGGUAGGUGGAAUUCUUGGUGUAGGGGUAAAAUGCGUAGAGAUCAAGAGGAACACUCAUUGCGAAGGCGACCUGCUAGAACAUAACUGACGCUGAUGCGCGAAAGCGUGGGGAGCAAACAGGAUUAGAUACCCGGGUAGUC